UGUUAUCAAAAUAACGGUUUUUAUAAUUAUACCAAGAAUAAACCCAGCAGUCAAAAUGAAAUUCUUGAAACAACUUUGAGUACUUGGAUGGAAAAUUUAUUUUGUAAUUUGUUGUUGACUAGUCUCUAGUAACAUCUUACUAUAGUGAAUCCAAAAGGAGAUUGGUUUGUCAGUUAUUUAGUUCGCCCCAAUGAAUAAUUGUCUUGUUCUUGUACAUAAAUUUACUGUAUCAUAUUCUUCUUUUGUACCAAAUAUUACAGUACUGUUUUACUAAGAAACAAAACGAAACUAUGAAUAAAUAUCACAUUUAUUGAGUUCUAUCUAUAGCUUGCUACAACUCACCAAAAAUCAUGUGUAUACUUGUAUUAUGUAUUUCAUGGUUAACGUAAAUAGACAGAAAAAAAAUAAAUUUUGAAGAAAAAAAAAGCAGUACACUUUAACUUAGUUACAAUAUUGUUCAAAAACUAUUUACAUAAACACAAGUUUUCUAUUUACAUGAUCAAUAUAAAAAAAUGUGCCAAAUCCACCAAUAAUAUUCUUAUUAAGGGCAUUUUUAAAAAUCUUAUAAUUAUAUUUACUGAUAUUCAAUUAACUUUCAGAGAAAAACACGUCAGGGGUCAAUAACCAGUUUUAAGAUGAACUUUAUCUAAAAAAUAUUACAAAAAGGGGAAUAACUCUUUAUUCGUUUGUAAUUGAAGAACUCAAAUUUGAGUUACUCCCCUUUGAAUAUGAUGUUUAAUCAAUAAACAAAAUUUAUUCUUUGCAAAUAGGAAAAAUAAAAAAUCCUCAGAUAUAAGCCCCAAUUUUAAGUAACAUCUUUUUCCCAUCACUAAAUUACAGGGUAUUAUAAAAGCAUUCAAAAGAAUUAAAUACACACUGUCAGGUGAGAAUUUACUACACUCAUACCAAGAUAUAAUGGAUAAGCCAUGUAAGGGAGUAUAAAAACUAAUUACUGUAGAGUUUAUGUACACAUAAAUAAUCAAAAUAUAAAUCCAAGUUACAUGCACAUCUCUGAUAUAUGUACAAUUGAUCUACAAGACAACAACUACCUAUCUUAAAAACUGUAUGAAGAGUUAUCCGUACAAUGGGGGUACCCUAUAUGCAAUAUUCUGCGUAAAAUUGACCAAGUUCGACAGCUGGUAUUUUU